rnacentral:rRNA from 1 species
UUACCUACGGGGGGCAGCAGUGAGGAAUAUUGGUCAAUGGGCUUACGCCUGAACCAGCCAAGUCGCGCGAGGGAAGACUGCCCUAUGGGUUGUAAACCUCUUUUGUCAGGGAGCAACGCCGGCUACGUGUAGCCGGACUGAGAGUACCUGAAGAAAAAGCAUCGGCUAACUCCGUGCCAGCAGCCGCGGUAAUACGGAGGAUGUGAGCGUUAUCCGGAUUUAUUGGGUUUAAAGGGUGCGUAGGUGGUUAAUUAAGUCAGCGGUGAAAGUUUGUGGCCCAACCAUAAAAUUGCCGUUGAAACUGG